GACGAACGCUGGCGGCGUGCCUAAUACAUGCAAGUCGAACGCAGUGGGGACGGGGGAGUAGCACAUGGGUAACGUCCCAUCAGAGGGGAGAACACUUGGCAACAGGUGCUAAACCGAUACUGAUGGAUGGACCCGGGGUGCAUUAGCCAGUUGGUGAGGUAACGGCUCACAAAGGCCACGAUGCAUAGCGGGCCUGAGAGGGUGACCGGCCACACUGGGACUGAGACACGGCCCAGACUCCUACGGGAGGCAGCAGUGGGGAAUCUUGGGCAAUGGACGAAAGUCUGACCGAGCAACGCCGCGUGAGUGAAGAAGGUUUUCGGAUCGUAAAACUCUUUUGUCAGAGAAGCGGUAUCUGACGAGAAAGCACCGGCUAACUACGUGCCAGCAGCCGCGGUAAUUC
rnacentral:rRNA from 1 species